CCAGUUUCCGGCGACCUCAGUGACUUUCGAGGUGUUUUCCAGCCAAACCACGGAGAGUUAGAUGUCGUGUGAGGUGCUUAGGGGCAAUUAUUGAUGGCGUUUCCUUCUUCGCUAGAUGACGUGGCUUUCGACGGCGAGGACUUAGAAUCGAGGCAUACAAUCCCGACGUCCAGGCACUUCCGCAUCGGCAUCUUCG